AUGCAAGCAUGCGACGUACCUCCCCGUCCUCCUCCUCUGCCAGAAUUAAUGGCAAACCUAACUACCUCCCCCUCCUGCGUAGACCCAGCCUGUGAGCUCACCCUCUCUACGACCCCGGUCCAUAAGCGAAACGACGUGAACCGCGGCCCUGCUCUCUGCCCUCCCUAUGCAAGCCCUACCCCAAACCCACUCGAGAGCUCGCCGCUCACCUCUUCGCCCUCAUCCACGCUCCCCGAGCCAAGUCCCAUCGCCGCGGCGCCAGUACCUGCUCCCUCCUACCGCGACGUGAUGCUCUCUCCCCAAAAAAUGCAGCGGCGCCCCGCUCCCAGCCCCCGCUCGCCCGCCGCGCUCUCCGCUCCCCCGCCUCUUUAUCAGCGACCUCACCUCACCACUCCCCCCCGCAUCCGUUCUAGACCUUUGUGUUUUGGUUGCCUUGCUCCAGACCACCUUGUCCAAGCUUGCCGUGAUCCCAUCCGCUGCUCUCGCUGUGGUGGUUCUGGCCAUCGUAGCUACCAGUGCACCUCCAACCUCCCCCUAGCCCUCCAACGCCUUCGUCUCCUCCACCGAAACCCUCCCAUGGCUGACGACAACCCCAACGUCCUCGUCAUCGGCUCCCACCGCCUCACCCUGCUGCACCCCCUCACCACCUCGCCGUGUUCGCCUCGCUCUGCCUCGUCGGACGACGACUCCGCUCCCCUGUCCCAGCGUGGAUCCCCGCGCCCCAGCCACGUCUCUGCCGCUGGCAGGGACGACACGGUGCCGGACGCGGCCUCCGGCAUCCGCGGGCCAGUCCGCCCGCCCUAA
rnacentral:rRNA from 1 species